UGAAUUUUCUUAUAUUCAUUCUGAGAAUCUGACAUUGGUGGUGGUAAGCUACUAGUGUAUCCACAGCUGCAAUGGGGCAGACUGACGGAAGCAUGGCUG